rnacentral:rRNA from 1 species
GAUGAACGCUGGCGGCGUGCCUAAUACAUGCAAGUCGAGCGAACGGACGAGAAGCUUGCUUCUCUGAUGUUAGCGGCGGACGGGUGAGUAACACGUGGAUAACCUACCUAUAAGACUGGGAUAACUUCGGGAAACCGGAGCUAAUACCGGAUAAUAUUUUGAACCGCAUGGUUCAAAAGUGAAAGACGGUCUUGCUGUCACUUAUAGAUGGAUCCGCGCUGCAUUAGCUAGUUGGUAAGGUAACGGCUUACCAAGGCAACGAUGCAUAGCCGACCUGAGAGGGUGAUCGGCCACACUGGAACUGAGACACGGUCCAGACUCCUACGGGAGGCAGCAGUAGGGAAUCUUCCGCAAUGGGCGAAAGCCUGACGGAGCAACGCCGCGUGAGUGAUGAAGGUCUUCGGAUCGUAAAACUCUGUUAUUAGGGAAGAACAUAUAUGUAAGUAACUGUGCACAUCUUGACGGUACCUAAUCAGAAAGCCACGGCUAACUACGUGCCAGCAGCCGCGGUAAUACGUAGGUGGCAAGCGUUAUCCGGAAUUAUUGGGCGUAAAGCGCGCGUAGGCGGUUUUUUAAGUCUGAUGUGAAAGCCCACGGCUCAACCGUGGAGGGUCAUUGGAAACUGGAAAACUUGAGUGCAGAAGAGGAAAGUGGAAUUCCAUGUGUAGCGGUGAAAUGCGCAGAGAUAUGGAGGAACACCAGUGGCGAAGGCGACUUUCUGGUCUGUAACUGACGCUGAUGUGCGAAAGCGUGGGGAUCAAACAGGAUUAGAUACCCUGGUAGUCCACGCCGUAAACGAUGAGUGCUAAGUGUUAGGGGGUUUCCGCCCCUUAGUGCUGCAGCUAACGCAUUAAGCACUCCGCCUGGGGAGUACGACCGCAAGGUUGAAACUCAAAGGAAUUGACGGGGACCCGCACAAGCGGUGGAGCAUGUGGUUUAAUUCGAAGCAACGCGAAGAACCUUACCAAAUCUUGACAUCCUUUGACAACUCUAGAGAUAGAGCUUUCCCCUUCGGGGGACAGAGUGACAGGUGGUGCAUGGUUGUCGUCAGCUCGUGUCGUGAGAUGUUGGGUUAAGUCCCGCAACGAGCGCAACCCUUAAGCUUAGUUGCCAUCAUUAAGUUGGGCACUCUAAGUUGACUGCCGGUGACAAACCGGAGGAAGGUGGGGAUGACGUCAAAUCAUCAUGCCCCUUAUGAUUUGGGCUACACACGUGCUACAAUGGACAAUACAAAGGGCAGCGAAACCGCGAGGUCAAGCAAAUCCCAUAAAGUUGUUCUCAGUUCGGAUUGUAGUCUGCAACUCGACUACAUGAAGCUGGAAUCGCUAGUAAUCGUAGAUCAGCAUGCUACGGUGAAUACGUUCCCGGGUCU